UGGUGGUACUGUAAAGAAAUAACAUGCGACGGUUAUAUAUCUCUAUUGGUCAAAGUGAGAUAUACGACAAAAUGGCGUCGGCCUAGGUGCCGGCGUGAGAUUCACGUGCUGUCAUGGUCAGUCGUGGGAUAGUCUCUGUAAGAGUAGCGUGUGAGCUCUGUUACAUUAAACUAAUUAUAAAUUUGUCGCCAUUUGGUAUUUUGUGUAGAUAAUAUAAACCCAUUGGCAUUAGUUUAGCAUUUGGAUAACUCACAUAAAGGAAAAUACAUUUACCGUAUUAGCGUGCAACCAAGGGAGUUGAAUAAUACGUAACUGUAGCAUAUAGCCGCACCACCGCCGAAGCAUAGCUGUACGCUUUUAUUUGAUUCCGGAGGACAGUAAAAAAAUAUUGAACUACAGAAAUACAGAAGACUAGAGGAAAAACGCUAGACUUGUCAACGACUGCACACGCUUUAGUGAGAUUUGAACUUGGGACCCUGCGGACGAAAGACCGAGGCUUUAACGACGAGGCUAUGCAACAAAAAAACAAACUUGGGAAAACAAAUUAAAAAAAAAAACUUUUUUUUUCAAGUAAUGGAUGUUCAUCUAUAAGCGAGAAAUCGUUAAGAACAAAUUUUUUUCGUUUCUGUACACUUUGAACGCUCUUUAUUUGACUAUCCGUAUCGUAUAGUAACAUUACAACUCGAUCGUGUUCAAUAAAUAAAAAUUUAUGGUAAAAUUACAAACCACUGUAAUUCUACAAUAUAAUUUGUAAGAAAGAAAUUAUGGUUUGUGAAAUUCUAAUGAUUUCAUUAUAAUAUAGAUCGCAAUAGUUUUUUGUGAUCUUACAAAAAAUUAUGGCAAAUUAAUUACAAACAUCUUUUGUAAACUUUAAACGCUUUUCAUUCAAAAUCAACGUAUUGUUUUGCAAAAUUACAACUGGUGUAUAAUAAAUGAAAAUUUAUGGCAAAAAUUACG